rnacentral:rRNA from 1 species
AUUGAACGCUGGCGGCAGGCUUAACACAUGCAAGUCGAGCGGAAACGAUGUAGCUUGCUACAGGCGUCGAGCGGCGGACGGGUGAGUAACGCGUAGGAAUCUGCCUAGUAGUGGGGGACAACAUGUGGAAACGCAUGCUAAUACCGCAUACGCCCUACGGGGGAAAGGAGGGGAUCUUCGUACCUUUCGCUAUUAGAUGAGCCUGCGUAAGAUUAGCUAGUUGGUAGGGUAAAGGCCUACCAAGGCGACGAUCUUUAACUGGUCUGAGAGGAUGGCCAGUCACAAUGGAACUGAGACACGGCCCAGACUCCUAAGGAAGGCAGCAGUGGGGAAUAUUGGACAAUAGGAGCAAGCCUGAUCCAGCCAUGACGGGUGGGUGAAGAAGGACUGAGGGUAAUAAAGAACUUUCAGGGGUGAGGAAGGGUGUUUGGUUAAUAACCAAACAUUUUGACGUUAAACCCAGAAGAAGCACCGGCUAACUCUGUA